rnacentral:lncRNA from 1 species
UGAUUCAUUCAUUCAUUCAAUAUAUACAAUUAUCUAUAAUAACAUUUGCUGUAGGUUCUUAGCUACAGUACUAACGCCGUGAAGAAACAUCGUUUCCAAAAGGGUAACCCACGUAAUCCAGUUCCACCGCAUCCCACGACGUCCUCCGCUUCCUCCCUCUUCUCUCUGUCUACGACCGCUACGUCCACACGUCGUAGUCCCUCCCUUCAAUUUCGAUUCCGAUGAUCACGCUUGAUGCUUUCGUUUGAAAUUAGGGCUCCAACAGUUGUGUAACUUGGCAGAAUCUUCCUCGAAACAAAGUAUAUCAUCAGUUCCAACGUUUGAUGUGGCGUUUUUGGUUGCGAUAAACAAUAUGAUGGUAUAAUGUUUGAAGGUCCCAAAUUACAGGCCCUAGGUUGCAGUUAGCCUUUUAAUUGUUCCCCAUUCCACCUGGUAAUGUUAUGGUUUUCACUUAUGUUUACCUGCUUACUAACAUUGUCUACCAAAAUGAAUCCGAGAGGGGACUUUGGCAAGCGUUCAACAAAGUUUAGUUCUUAAUAAAAUGUGUAUCUGCACAUGGCCGUCGUUUGCGUAGGGUAUUAUGAAUGUUAAGAGUUAGUGAUAAGUGAUUGAUCUGCUUUGUCUUAAGAACAACACACCCCCACUUUCUGUGCUCCUUUACUUUGUAAUGAUGGUUUAGUGUUAAUGAUUUUGAUGUGCUCUCGGCACCUUUAACAUAUUGAAAAACUAUAAAAUAUGAUCGCAUGAUUUUGGACGUCGAUGGAUCGGCUAAUCUUUUGUAGAGAAAUUGGGGUUCCCCGCAAAGCGGGGGUCAGAAAAUUCUAUUCUAGUUAUAUACAAUUUGGGUAUGUUCUUAGGAACAGUUCCCGUUCCCAGUUUUUGCCAACCUGUAGGUGUCGGUCAUUACCACCCCCAAACACAUGCUACCCAGCCGCUUAUUCCACGGUUGUCAACACCCUGCUCCAAAUCCAGCCCCGGCGACAAAUGGAAUCGAAAGCGGCAACAGAGCUAUUCCCUUCCUUCCCUGAAUCGCAUCAGAUAACGACUUCGUCCCGCACAUCGCUUAACCACCAUCCUCUGGCGGUCUUUACCACAUGACAUUCAAUUAUUC